rnacentral:rRNA from 1 species
AUGAAUUGUGGGGUUGGAGUGUCUCUUAUACGGUCCGAUCCCAUACUAACCCUUACAGUAGAUCAUUAUUGUGCAAUUGCACGCACGUCAAAUCCAACCCCAUCUCGGCAUGAUUCGCUGUUCACCCUGUACCGGCGGCCAGCGCGGGCGGUGGCCCAACCUGGUUCCCAGCGGCAGCAGAGAGCCGACGGUUGGUGGUUGUUGGCUGGUCCUGGUCGAUCGAUCGGCAUUAUCGUCGGGGCAAUGGUUGGAUUGGUUAACCUCUCUUUCUACGUCCGGCCUGUUUGCCCGCUCCGUGCUUCCUCCACUCUCCCGUACUAG